rnacentral:rRNA from 1 species
GACGAACGCUGGCGGCGUGCUUAACACAUGCAAGUCGGACGGAAAGGCCCUGCUUUUGUGGGGUGCUCGAGUGGCGAACGGGUGAGUAACACGUGAGUAACCUGCCCUUGACUUUGGGAUAACUUCAGGAAACUGGGGCUAAUACCGGAUAGGAGCUCCUGCUGCAUGGUGGGGGUUGGAAAGUUUCGGCGGUUGGGGAUGGACUCGCGGCUUAUCGGCUUGUUGGUGGGGUAGUGGCUUACCAAGGCUUUGACGGGUAGGCGGCCUGAGAGGGUGACCGGGCACAUUGGGACUGAGAUACGGACCAGACUCCUACGGGAGGCAGCAGUGGGGAAUAUUGCACAAUGGGCGGAAGCCUGAGACAGCGACGCCGCGUUCGGGAUGACGGCCUUCGGGUUGUGAACCGCUUUCGCCUGUGACGAAGCGUGAGUGACGGUAAUGGGUAAAGAAGCACCGGCUAACUACGUG